ACGUAGGUGGCAAGCGUUGUCCGGAUUUACUGGGUGUAAAGGGCGUGUAGGCGGGAUUGCAAGUCAGGCGUGAAAACCAGGGGCUCAACCUCUGGCCUGCGUUUGAAACUGUAGUUCUUGAGUACUGGAGAGGUUGACGGAAUUCCUAGUGUAGCGGUGAAAUGCGUAGAUAUUAGGAGGAACACCAGUGGCGAAGGCGGUCAACUGGACAGCAACUGACGCUGAGGCGCGAAAGCGUGGGGAGCAAACAG
rnacentral:rRNA from 1 species